rnacentral:SRP_RNA from 1 species
GCUGGGCAUGAUGGUACAUGCCUGUAGUCCCAGCUACUCAGGAAGCUGAGGCAGGAGGAUUGCUUGAGCCCAGGAGAUGGAGACUGCAGCGAGCCAUGAUGGUGCCACUGCACUCUAGCCUGGGUGACAGAGUGAGACCCUGUCUCAA